rnacentral:rRNA from 1 species
CCUACGGGAGGCAGCAGUAGGGAAUCUUCCGCAAUGGACGAAAGUCUGACGGAGCAACGCCGCGUGAACGAUGAAGGCCUUCGGGUCGUAAAGUUCUGUUGUUAGGGAAGAACAAGUGCUAGUUAAAUAAGCUGGCACCUUGACGGUACCUAACCAGAAAGCCACGGCUAACUACGUGCCAGCAGCCGCGGUAAUACGUAGGUGGCAAGCGUUGUCCGGAAUUAUUGGGCGUAAAGCGCGCGCAGGCGGUUUCUUAAGUCUGAUGUGAAAGCCCCCGGCUCAACCGGGGAGGGUCAUUGGAAACUGGGAAACUUGAGUGCAGAAGAGGAAAGUGGAAUUCCGAGUGUAGCGGUGAAAUGCGUAGAGAUUUGGAGGAACACCAGUGGCGAAGGCGAACUUUCUGGUCUGUAACUGACGCUGAGGCGCGAAAGCGUGGGGAGCAAACAGGAUUAGAUACCCUGGUAGUCCACGCUGUAAAACGAUGAGUGCUAAAGUGUUAGAGGGUUUUCCCGCCCUUUAGUGCUGAAGUUAACGCAUUAAGCACUCCGCCUGGGGAAGUCGGUGCAAAGACUUGAAACUCAAAANAGAUAGAGCGNGAGACGUGCGAGGACGACGACGAGGGAGAGG